UUAUAGGUGGUGGAGGGGCUGAACCGACUACAUCAACCCAGUAACCGAUUAGUACUUAUUUUAUCGACCCCGACGGGUGGAAAGACAAAGCUUAACCUACUCUUUGCCAUAAGUGCGGCAGGUGAACAGACACUAACAAGGAUAGAUACGAUCUCUUGCUUGUUAUCGUGGCCAAACCCUUCAGAGACCGAUGCGACUAAUUAACGUUUCACUUGAACGGGUUGAAGUCUCUUGCUGAAGAAAAAAUGGGAUCGGAGGAAAUUUCAGCGGCUGACAUCCCAAAGAAGGACUGGACCACAAAGUUUGUGUAGGACUUGAGGUGAUGAAAACAAGAAGGGAGUUCUUGUUAAGCGAGCUGUAUCCAG
rnacentral:lncRNA from 1 species